GACGAACGCUGGCGGCGUGCCUAACACAUGCAAGUCGAGCGAUGAAACCCUUCGGGGUGGAUUAGCGGCGGACGGGUGAGUAACACGUGGGUAACCUGCCUUAUAGAGGGGGAUAGCCUUCCGAAAGGAAGAUUAAUACCGCAUAACAUAUUUUUAUCACAUGGUAGAAAUAUCAAAGGAGUAAUCCGCUAUAAGAUGGACCCGCGGCGCAUUAGCUAGUUGGUGAGGUAACGGCUCACCAAGGCGACGAUGCGUAGCCGACCUGAGAGGGUGAUCGGCCACAUUGGAACUGAGACACGGUCCAGACUCCUACGGGUGGCUG
rnacentral:rRNA from 1 species